CCAUUACUGACAAUAUUUAUAUCAAGAUUGGAAAUUUUUCUAAAAGGUAAAUUGUAGGAAUUAUUUAUGGGGAAGUUCUGUAGUAGUAUUAUACAGAAGGUCAGGCUAGCCGAUCACAG